UACAGAGGAGCCAAGCGUUGUCCGGAUUGACUGGGCGUAAAGCGCACGCAGGCGGUUGCGCGCGUGGGGUGUGAAAUCUGGCCGCUUAACGGCCAGGCGCCAUCCCAUACGGCGCGACUGGAGUGAUGCAGAGGUCGAUGGAAUUGCCGGUGUAGUGGUGAAAUGCGUAGAGAUCGGCAGGAACACCCCAGGGGGGAAACCAGUCGACUGGGCAUCUACUGACGCUGAGACGCGAAAGCGUGGGGAGCGAACAGG
rnacentral:rRNA from 1 species